rnacentral:rRNA from 1 species
AUACGUAGGGUGCAAGCGUUAAUCGGAAUUACUGGGCGUAAAGCGUGCGCAGGCGGUUCGGAAAGAAAGAUGUGAAAUCCCAGGGCUUAACCUUGGAACUGCAUUUUUAACUACCGGGCUAGAGUGCGUCAGAGGGGGGUGGAAUUCCGCGUGUAGCAGUGAAAUGCGUAGAUAUGCGGAGGAACACCGAUGGCGAAGGCAGCCCCCUGGGAUGACACUGACGCUCAUGCACGAAAGCGUGGGGAGCAAACAGGAUUAGAUACCCUGGUAGUCCACGCCCUAAACGAUGUCAACUAGCUGUUGGGGCCUUCGGGCCUUGGUAGCGCAGCUAACGCGUGAAGUUGACCGCCUGGGGAGUACGGUCGCAAGAUUAA